UACGGGGGGGGCAAGCGUUGUUCGGAAUUACUGGGCGUAAAGGGCUCGUAGGCGGCCAACUAAGUCAGACGUGAAAUCCCUCGGCUUAACCGGGGAACUGCUUCUGAUACUGGAUGGCUUGAGAUUGGGAGAGGGAUGCGGAAUUCCAGGUGUAGCGGUGAAAUGCGUAGAUAUCUGGAGGAACACCGGUGGCGAAGGCGGCAUCCUGGACCAACACUGACGCUGAGGAGCGAAAGCCAGGGGAGCAAACGGG
rnacentral:rRNA from 1 species